rnacentral:rRNA from 1 species
CGGGGGAUUAGGGUUCGAUUCCGGAGAGGGAGCCUGAGAAACGGCUACCACAUCUAAGGAAGGCAGCAGGCGCGCAAAUUACCCAAUUCUAACAGCAUAAGAGAGGUAGUGACAAGAAAUAACAAUACAAGGCAGUUAAAAUGCUUUGUAAUUGGAAUGAUAGAAAUUUAAACACUUUUUAAAGUAUCAAUUGGAGGGCAAGUCUGGUGCCAGCAGCCGCGGUAAUUCCAGCUCCAAUAGCGUAUAUUAAAAUUGUUGCAGUUAAAAAGCUCGUAGUUGAAUUUCUGCUAAAAAAAACCGGUCUGCUUUUAAUAAAAGUGGUAUCUUGGUGUGUUUUUAGCAAUAAUGUCUUUUGGAAUGUUUUAUUACUUUAUUGUAAUAAAUCAUAUUCAGGGUUUUUACUUUGAGAAAAUUAGAGUGUUUCUAGCAGGCUAACGCUUUGAAUACUGCAGCAUAGAAUAAUAAAA